UUUUAAACGAUGCUGCUUGUCAAGGAAAACUUGCUUUAUUUUAACAUUUCCCGUUCACACGAACAAAUAAAACUUGCCAAGGAAAACUUGUUCUCCUGUACGGGGUUUUACUCUGGAUUAUACUGUUAUUUACUUAAACAUUGUCACGACUGAGUUUGUGGAUUGUUUUUGUAUCGAAAUUUACGUGAAAUAAUUUUGUAAAUGUUACUCCGAGUUCUUUUUGUUUUACAUUUUAUUCACUUUUAAACGAGUAUCUUUAAUAAA